rnacentral:rRNA from 1 species
UACCUGCAGCUCGAGUGGUAACCGCUAUUAUUGGGCCUAAAGCGUCCGUAGCCGGUUUGGUAAAUAUCUGGGUAAAUCGUGAGGCUUAACUUCACGAAUUUCGGGUAGACUGCCAGACUUGGGAUCGGGGGAGGUCAGAGGUACUCCAGGGGUAGCGGUGAAAUGUUGUAAUCCUUGGAGGACCACCGGUAGCGAAGGCGUCUGACUAGAACGAGUCCGACGGUGAGGGACGAAGCCCUGGGGCGCAAACCGGAUUAGAUACCCGGGUAGUCCAGGGUGUAAACAAUGUGGGCUUUGUAUUGGAGAUCCCACGUGGGUGUCCAGUGCAGAAGAGAAGUUGUUAAAGCCCACCGCCUGGGAAGUACGGUCGCAAGGCUGAAACUUAAGGAAUUGGCGGGGAGCACAGCAACGGGAGGAGCGUGCGGUUU